GUGGCUUACUAGCUGGUUACUGUCUCCUUGCAGUUAUGUGCGGUAGAGCUGAACUGGAGCUGCCUAGGCUGUUUUAUGGAAUCCAUAGGUAUUUGAGGCAAAGUGGAAUCCUUGUGGCUCAGGCACAUCAUUUUCUAUAAUUAAGUCACAAUGGACUUUUGGAGAGCCCUGCUGAAUGAUUGAGAGCCUGUACACAGCUGGGCCUGCUAAUAAACUCUGUGCUACUCUAAGGUGCUAAAGUGCUGCUGGACACUUUCCCUAUCGUUCAACUUGACUUGGAAAAAUUGCAUCUUUGCCAAUAACAAGUCUGGUACCAGUGGCAUUUUUUUUUUCUGGGAAGAAAUUGAGAUGGAAGGGUUGAAACCUUACAUCUACCACAUCCUGGACUGUAAUGCUAGUAUGAAAAGAUCAUAUACUUGCUCUUUUCCUGCAAAUUUGAAAGGAACUAAGGCAGGUAAACCUAUGGGCUUCUCUGAGAAGGUUAUUGUGUUUCUGCCUGGUGUACCUCACUCCUUCAGGAGACAGGGUGCUAGUAAGACUGGCAAUUCAUCUGACCCCACAUUGCAAAUCUUGUGUUACCAGCCCCGAAUGCAUGUGAAUGUAAAUACAGAUAAAAGAAAGGAGAAAAAAACAACAAAAAUGUACAUUUUAAAAAAAGGAGUUUGGAAAAGUGUCUGUAAACUAUGCACCAGGAAAAAUUCUGCUUUAAGGAAGAAGAUUAAAAAAUUACAUGUGAAGCACGAAUGAAAGUAUGUGAGCCUAAAAGCAGCCUAAAUAUGACAGGCUUUUGGCAAUCUUGAUCCUAGACGUUCAGAGUUCCAUACUCAUGCUCUGUCCUAAUGUGUGCUAUCCUGGUUUUCCUCUCCCCUACAGCACUGUCAUCGGGCAUCUACCAAUGCCAGAUUAACUUUUAUGCCAUCCUGGUCCCUCCCUGCAUGGUAGGAGCUAGCUUGCAGAUGACUGCUUUGAAAUAAAAUGAGUAGAUAAUCUGAGUUUGGUAGACGGAUUAUGUCUGCGUACAAUGGAGCAAUUUGUGAUCUUUGCAAAGGUUUGGGAGUUUGAACCAGAGAUAGUUAAGCAGGCUGGUUUCUUUCACAUUAGUUUAAUUACUUGUUCCCGUAACGAAGCCUUAUUUGUAGCAGAGUAAUAGAAAGACAGCAUUGUGAAUAAAAAUUUCUAGCUGAAAUAGAGCAAGGUAAUUACAGGUUGUCCACUGGGUUGAUGCAAUAAUCUUUCGUUUUAUAACAGCUGAAUUCUUUAACCCAGAUGUAACCCUCUAGCAGAUGCUUCUGUCAGCAAUGAGAGGCAUGUUUCAGUCUACCUUGAACAGAAAUGCUGGGAAAACAGAGGGUUUAUGCACAAAAGAAAUAGUCUUUUCAGAGAAAAUAAUUUUCCCAAAAUAGGGGAAACCAGGAAUAGUUUCCUUUCUGCUUGCUGCAUUUAAACACAAAAUUCCUCGGGCUACCUUCUCCACUGUCGGGAACCAAAUGUUUGAAUUUCUUUAGAAAAAAAGAAACCAAAGAAACAAUUGAAGUAGCUACAUAAUUAUACAUUUAAAUACUAUCAAACCCAAACAAUAUAUUGGAGUGUUUUCAACAUUUGCAGAAGAUAACCAUGAGUUCUUAGGGUACAGAAAUCUUAAAUGUUGCUAAAGUUUUCUGAGAAUGUUAAGCAAGAAAACCCCAUAUUUUUGUCAAAGAGUGUCUGUUCAUCAAAAAGAUUCCCCAAAAUUUGAUUUUAAGUGUACACAAAGAUUUCGAGGACCCAGAAAUUUCAUGAAGAAUUAAUUCCCGUGUUAUCGCUUGCUUGUAGUACAGAGAUUACUGCAUCUAGGAUAUGUAAGACCUGAGGUCACAUCACUUCUCUAUCGUACUUGAAAUUCUGUGCUGUAUGUUUCUGGGAAAUACCAGCUACUUAAGACACAGAUCUGAUUUCUCUGCCAAAGGCUAUUUGCUUCCCUUGUGAUGCAGUCUAAACUGUACAUCUCCCACUGAAGUAAAACACAAUCUGCAUUGGGCCUUCUUGGAAGACCUUGAUGUCAGAGUGACAGUAUUCAGUCAAGUGAAAGACCAGGCACAGUCUUAACAUGAACCUUUGUGGGUGUAGCAAUGGAAACAUACAAAUUGUGCUGUUAUGUGGAAUAGUCUCAAAGAUACAAACCAUCUCUUUUUCUACAGAUCUUUUUGUCUCAAAGCUGCUUUUCAAAAACAAAAAUUCAGAGGUUUCAGGAGCAGAAAGAGAAUAACUUU